UGGGGAAUUUUGGACAAUUGGGGGCAACCCUGAUCCAGCCAUCCCGCGUGUGCGAUGAAGGCCUUCGGGUUGUAAAGCACUUUUUGGCAGGGAAGAAACAGCCUGGGAUAAUACCCCGGGCGACUGACGGUACCUGCAGAAUAAGCACCGGCUAACUACGUGCCAGCAGCCGCGGUAAUACGUAGGGUGCAAGCGUUAAUCGGAAUUACUGGGCGUAAAGCGUGCGCAGGCGGUUCGGAAAGAAAGGUGCGAAAUCCCCAGGGCUUAACCUUGGAACUGCACUUUUAACUACCGACUAGAGUACGUCAGAGGGGGGUAGAAUUCCACGUGUAGCAGUGAAAUGCGUAGAGAUGUGGAGGAAUACCGAUGGCGAA
rnacentral:rRNA from 1 species